rnacentral:rRNA from 1 species
GUGGGGAAUCUUGCGCAAUGGGCGAAAGCCUGACGCAGCCAUGCCGCGUGAAUGAUGAAGGUCUUAGGAUUGUAAAAUUCUUUCACCGGGGACGAUAAUGACGGUACCCGGAGAAGAAGCUCCGGCUAACUUCGUGCCAGCAGCCGCGGUAAUACGAAGGGGGCUAGCGUUGCUCGGAAUUAAUGGGCGUAAAGGGCGCGUAGGCGGACAGCUUAGUCAGAGGUGAAAGCCCAGGGCUCACACUUGGAAUUGCCUUUGAUACUGGCUGUCUUGAGUUUGGGAGAGGUGAGUGGAACUCCGAGUGUAGAGGUGAAAUUCGUAGAUAUUCGGAAGAACACCAGUGGCGAAGGCGACUCACUGGCCCAAUACUGACGCUGAGGCGCGAAAGCGUGGGGAGCAAACAGGAUUAGAUACCCGAGUAGUCC